AUACGGAGGGUGCAAGCGUUGUUCGGAAUUACUGGGCGUAAAGCGCGCGUAGGCGGUUUGUUAUGUCAGAUGUGAAAGUCCACGGCUCAACCGUGGAAGUGCAUUUGAAACUGGCAAACUUGAGUACUGGAGGGGGUGGUGGAAUUCUCGGUGUAGAGGUGAAAUUCGUAGAUAUCGGGAGGAAUACCGGUGGCGAGGGCGACCACCUGGCCAGAUACUGACGCUGAGGUGCGAAAGCGUGGGGAGCAAACAGGAUUAGAAACCCUAGUAGUCC
rnacentral:rRNA from 1 species